rnacentral:lncRNA from 1 species
GUUGUUUUGAGUAGUAUAGUUAUUAGUAGAGUGUGCUAAUACUGUAUUUGAUUUAUAGCAUGUUGUGAUAUGCUUUUGUGAUAAAUGUAUUGACAAUGUGUGUUGGUUGGUAUGCAUUAUACUGUAAAUGUAUCAGUUAUGUAUGCAUCUGUGAAUAGACUGUCAUAUGUCUAUUCUUGAGUUGUUGUUGUUGUUGCAUUGCUAGGUGAUUAGCAUGCAUAGUCUAGCCUUUGGGGCUGUAGCUAAUUCCCAU